rnacentral:lncRNA from 1 species
GGUAACUGUUACAAAUAGAAAAGUCCCUGGAUCCCUGAACACAGAUAGGUAGGCAAAAGUGCCCUAUGAUUCGUCACAGCCCAGAACACCUUCAUCUUACCUACUUCUCUCCAAGGAUUCUGAACCAUGUCGAAGAAUAACAGCGCUUCCAGAGGAUAGAAACUUCUAGUUGGAUUUUCUUUUAAUAGGACAGAGUUUGAUCAAAUGCAGGGCACAGAGCCUGUCAGGUUAAUGCCCUGCUGGGCUGUAUUCCCCAGCCCUUACCACUAUCUUUCUGGUGUUUUGCUUUGGCUUUUUGUUGUUUUUCUGUCAAACCUUUAUGCAGGUAGGAUGUAAUCAGACCAACAGCUUGAAUAUAAAGCAUCUAUCUCACAUAGGCCCAGAUCAGGUCUGACUUUCAUGGCUGCUGACUUCUACUUCCCUAAUUCUUCCAUCUCUUAGUAUCUCAUGAGUAGUCAUAUCUGUCUUGAAAAAAAAAUAUUUGUUUUAAUUUUAUUUAUUUUUUGACACACAGUCUAACAUUAUGCAGUCCUGGCUGGCCUGGAACUAUCUUUUAGACCAGGUUGGCCUCUAAAUCCCAGAAAUCUGCCUCCCAAGUAUUGGAAUUAAAGGUGUGUACCACCCACGUCUGGCAAUUGAUAUAUUUUAUGUAUAUGUGUGAGUGCCUUUGUGUGUAAAUGUGUACCGCGUACGUGCCAGUGCCAGCUGUAGCUAGAAGAACUGGAUCCCUUGGGACUGGAAUCACAAGGAGUUGUGAGCCACCUGGUGUGGAGCCAAAUCCAGGUCCUCUGCAAGAGCAGCAAGUGCUCCUAACCGAUGAGCCAUCUUCCAGCCCUUCAUACUCAUCUUGGCCUCAAGGUUCUCGCUACUGAACUCACAUGUAGCCCAGGGUGAACUUAUCAUGGUCCUCAGAGAACUAAGAUUACAGGUAGAUGCUACCACAUUUUGUAAGAUCGUCUUAAGACACAUUUUACACUAUAGUCCAGGAUGACCUAGAACUUAACUGUGUAGAUCCAGCAUGACCUUGAAUUUAUCUUAAUUCUCCUGCCUUGGCCUGUUAGGUGCUAGAAUUGCUUGUGUUAGUCCCCAUGCCCAGCCACUUGUAGCUCUUUAAAGAUGUGAAAGGGCCAGUGAGAAAGCUCAGUGGUUGGGGGCAUUUGCUGCCAGGCCUGAUAAUCUCUAGAACCUGCAGGGUGGAAGGAAAGACUCCUGCAAGUUAUCCUUUGACACCUGUACUCUAUGCACCUACACACAGACAUAACAUAUUAGCUAUGUGUCUUUUUUUUUAAGUUAAAUAUGUAGAAAUUCAGAGCUUUCAUUCUUACCAUGACCCAGACAUGUAGGGAGAUGCUGAGGGCAAGGUACACAGAUGUCAGAAUGAUGGUCCCUUUGAACUUAUGGAAAAGGAGGUUGACCAGGCCAGCCUGGAAGACGAAGGUGUUGAAGAACAUGAGGAAAAUUAUGAUGAUGUUGAAGAGGAUUGCAAUAUCCUGGAUGCUGUAGACACAUAAAACAAAGUAUAGCCAAGUGGGGGCUGUAUGAGGACUUAGGAGGUGGCCCUAAGUGCUAAGGGGAAUCAAGAGAUCUGUUCUCUAUGAUACUGUCACCCCAAACCCUCAGACAGCAUAGAUGUCUAAACACACCAAUAACCUUAAAAUGCUCAACUGUGACAGUCAGGACCUUCACACUCUUUGGAGUCAGCUUUUCAGGCCUGCCUCUUAUACUCACAUGAACAGCACAAGCUGGAUAACAGGAGCCAUUCGGAGUAGCUCUGAGAAGGAGUUGACGAACAGGUCAUAGGACAGCAACAGGAACUGCAGGGAGAGCACCAGGCUGUAGUUACCGGUCUGGAGCAUCUUCUGCCUGAUUUGUGGGACUCCCAAGGGUACAUUCCACAGUUCCGAAGAAAAUGACUACUGGUUUUCUCUCUGCCCAGAACUCCAGGAGAGAUGUUUAGUUUUUCCAAAUCGGAGCUGUUUCCUUGGCUCUAAUGCAAGGACCUGUUUGGAGGGGAAAGAGGUAAGAAAGGGAGGAAGGGCAAGGAAGGCAAUAUUAGAAGUCUAGCAAUAAACAUUGGUAUGCAAAACACCAUUCUAGGUGAUCAGGGUAUAUUAGUUAAAACCAAUUAUCAAAACAAAAACCCAGCUAAAGCCAGGCAUAGUGGCACACACCUAUAAUCACAAUAUUCAGGAACCUAAAACAGGAGGAUUAAGAGUCUGAGGCCAGCUUGGGUUAUGAGAGCCAAGAUUCUUCACCAAACAAGACAAACCCAAACCCAUCCCAACUCCACCCCACUGCACCAUAACUUGUCAUUCAUUCUAGAGACUCAUUAACAGCAAAUUUUUCUCCAUGUCUGGAUCCUUCUUAAUGCAUGGCGCUUUUUUUUUUUUUUUUGGAACCAGAUCUUGCUAUGUAGCCCAAGCUCAUCUUAACUUCUUGAUCCUCCUGCCCUGAUCCUCAGGGUAAACCCUGAGAGCCUGUUCUACAGGAAUUUACCCACACCUGACAAAUACACAACUCUAACCAAGAAUAUUUAGGGUUACUACAGAGCAGUGACAGCCUGGUCACAUAAUAGUAGUAAUGGUAGUAAAUAAAACCCUUAUAUAUUUCAUGCAACACUCUAGGAACUGUUUCAAUCACAGAUGUUAUUAAAAUCUUAUAAUAACCUCAUAAGGUAGAAAAUCAAUUCUUAUUUCCCUCAAUUCCUAGAUGAGAAAACUGAGGCUCAGCAAAGGUAACUAAUUAGACCAAGAUUCCACAGCUGGUAGGUGGCAGAGUGGUAUUCUAAGAGGCACUAUACAACCAGCCUAUUUCAUAAUUUAUAGAGUGCUAUCUAAGUAGGUGAGAAAUAUGUCCUCAUAGAAAUGGACAGUGUCACAUACAGAAGGAGUUGAGAAGACAAAGUACUCUCCUAGAGGAACUUUAUAAAGGUUAUGACAGAAACACUGAGGCAGCAAGUGAGGGGAGCAUAUUUAUAACUUUACUUGAUCCCUGGACUUGAAAAGCAGCCAUUUUAGUGCAUAUAACCCUCAUU